rnacentral:rRNA from 1 species
CCUACGGGUGGCAGCAGUGAGGAAUAUUGGUCAAUGGACGAGAGUCUGAACCAGCCAAGUAGCGUGAAGGAUGACUGCCCUAUGGGUUGUAAACUUCUUUUAUAUGGGAAUAAAAUGUUCCACGUGUGGGAUUUUGUAUGUACCAUAUGACUAAGGAUCGGCUAACUCCGUGCCAGCAGCCGCGGUAAUACGGAGGAUCCGAGCGUUAUCCGGAUUUAUUGGGUUUAAAGGGAGCGUAGGUGGAUUGUUAAGGCAGUUGUGAAAGUUUGCGGCUCAACCGUAAAAUUGCAGUUGAAACUGGCAGUCUUGAGUACAGGAGAGGUGGGCGGAAUUCGUGGUGUAGCGGUGAAAUGCUUAGAUAUCACGAAGAACUCCGAUUGCGAAGGCAGUUCACUGGACUGCAACUGACACUGAGGCUCGAAAGUGUGGGUAUCAAACAGGAUUAGAUACCCUGGUAGUC